rnacentral:lncRNA from 1 species
GCCCCCCUUACCCCACUGCCUGGAACACUGUUCCGACAGUGUUUCGACAUCCCUCGGGGGUUCCUUUGACUCACCUCCCACACCAUCGUGACACACAGUGUCAGGCGCACAUUUCCUGCAAAUUUUGCUGCCGGAAACAGCCGCACGCGCCGCCCCUGUCCUCCACGCGCCGCGCGCGUGUGCCCACUUCCCGGCACUUUUUCCACCGGCUUCUUUUGGACAGUUUUCUCCCCCCAGAUUUCCGACCCACUUGGUACUCUCGGAAUUUUUCACUGGUCACUUUCAUCCUUUAUUGUUCAUUUAGCCACCUUGCUUUUCGCCGGAAAUUUUACCGCCCCUGUCCUCCACGCGCCGCGCGCGUGUGCCCACUUCCCGGCACUUUUUCCACCGGCUUCUUUUGGACAGUGUUCUCCCCCCAGAUUUCUGACCCACUUGGUACUCUCGAAAUUUUUCACUGGUCACUUUCAUCCUUUAUUGUUCAUUUAGCCACCUUGCUUUUCGCCGGA